CAAAAAGAUGCUGUUAAUAAGCUGUUAGGAAACUUGAAAAAUUGCUUUCUUGCCUAAUUACCUAGAAACAAAUAGAAUCACUUUGCUCUUAGAAGGAGUCAAAGUCUGCCAUUUUCAAUUUUCAGAGUCUAUUGACUGUAAUCUUGCUGCUUAUAUGUACGUGUGCUUAUGUGCGAUCCCUGGCACCCAGCAUCCUGGACAGAAAUAAAACUGGACUAUUGGGGAUAUUUUGGAAGUGUGCCCGAAUUGGUGAACGCAAGAGUCCUUAUGUCGCCAUAUGCUGUAUAGUGAUGGCCUUCAGCAUCCUCUUCAUACAGUAGCUUUGGAAACUACCAGCACGUGAUUGCCAUCAGACUGUACACAGGACGUGCCUCCAGAAAAUAACGGGAGAAUGGUUAAGCCUCUUGUCUCUGAACAUGGAAUGAGAUAAAUUUCGAGAUGCUGUUCUCUCUUUUUAUGCUAUUGGACCAAUGAGCUGUAUGAAUAAUUACGAUGUAACAGUUAAUACAUAGGAACGUGAUUGCAGCCAUCGACCUCGGUUCUCUCACUCCAGUAUUACACUCUACAAACGUCAUCCUGUUACGUCAGGACCGCUUUUCCUAAGGUUCUCCAGGCACGAAGUAGAAACCCAGUGGCCAGUUCCACAGGCUUCUUUGACUAGGGCUUCAAAAUAAUGUCUUCACACAGUGAUACCUUCUAGCGACUGGCCUAUUUUUAUUGAGAAAAGAAAAUGGUUCUAUUUUUGUUGUUACUGUUCUUAGGAAUUGCAUUCAUAUUUAAACCCUUUUGAUUGCUAACCAGAGUACCUCUAUUCUUGGCAAAUUCUGUACUUUAUUACAGGUGUUUAAAAUAGUUUAAACAAAACUGCAUUUCUU
rnacentral:lncRNA from 1 species